rnacentral:rRNA from 1 species
AUUGAACGCUGGCGGCAGGCCUAACACAUGCAAGUCGAGCGAGCGGCGGACGGGUGAGUAAUGCAUGGUGACUGCCCGAUAGAGGGGGAUAACUACUGGUAACGGUGGUUAAUACCGCAUACUAUCGGAUAACCCAUAUGGGAUUAGCUAGUAGGUGGGGUAAAGGCUCACCUAGGCGACGAACUCUAGCUGGUCUGAGCGGAUGAACAGCCACACGGAGACGGAGAAACGGCCCAGACUCCUACGGAGGAAGAAGUGGGGAAUAUUGCACAAUGGGCGCAAGCCUGAUGCAGACAGGCGGCGGGGGUGAAGAAGGCCGUAGGGUUGUAAAGUACGUUCAGCGGGGAGGCGUUACCCGCAGAAAAAGCACCGGCUAACUCCGUGCCAGCAGCCGCGGUAAUUC